GCUGGGGACGUAGCUCAGUUGGUAGAGUGCUUGCUUGAGUGCACAAGGCCCCGGGGUUCAAUUCCCAGCAGCA
rnacentral:tRNA from 1 species